GACGAACGCUGGCGGCGUGCUUAACACAUGCAAGUCGAACGGUAAGGCCGCAGCUUGCUGCGCUACACGGGGGGCAAAGGGGGGAGUAACACGUGGGUUACCUACCCCGCACUUCGGGGGAAGCCAAGGAAACUGAGUCUAAUACCAGAUAGGAUCGCACCGUGAGGGUGUGGCUGAAGGUUUUUCGGUGUGGUGUGGGGGCGAGGGCUGUCAGCGGGUUGGGGGGGUAGUGGCCUACCGAGGCUGCGACGGGUAGCUGGCCUGAGAGGGUGGACGGCCAAGUUGGGCCGGGGACACGGCCCAGCCUACUAUGGGAGGCAGCGGUGGAGAAUAGUGCACAAGGGGCGGAAGCCUGAUGCAGCGACGCCGCGUGGGGGAUGACGGCCUGCGGGUUGUAAACUAAUUUCACCAUAGACGAAGGUUUUAUGACGGUAGCUGGAGAAGAAGCACCGGCUAACUACGUG
rnacentral:rRNA from 1 species